AUAUAGCAAUUGUCUCAUACAGUGGAUGAAGAAAGCUUUAUUCUAACUGAAAUACAAAUUGUUAAUAAAUUACCUAUUUAAUUAAUAUUCAAUGUAAUAUGAUAUAUGAAUAUUACACAAAAAUCUUAAACUAAUAGAAUACCAAAUAUAUUAGGUCAUCCCAUAAGUUCGUGCCGAUUUUUGUGUAUACAUUUCAUGUGUCGAUUUAUAAACAUACGGCGAUAAGGGACCAAUGUACUUGAAAAAUGGGAAGAAGUUGUACAACGAGAGGAGGAUUACAUUUUUUCAUGAAACUGAAAGAUGCUGGCCUCGCAAGAGCUUGGACCAGCGUUGGAAUGCAAGGAAUUUAUCUGUAUACUUCGCGGACGCUUUCAAAAAUAAAACUUUUCCUCACCGACUAUCCACGAUCUGCGUUGCUUUUUGAUUGUGUUGGUACAUUUUCCGGCGAUUCACGUUUAAGAAGGUCGCUUAUUUUAUUUCAAACAAACUUUAGUUCAAUCUACCUGUUGAUUCAAGAGACUACUAUAUAUAGAUUACUAUAUAACAAUGUAAUAAAAUAACAUUGCACUUAUCGUUGCUCCACUAACUCUAAAACGCAAGAUUGUCGACCAAGUAGUCAGGAAUUCCAAGCAGUGGUUCUCAUCAACAACUUUGCGUAAAAUGAUUAAUCAAUCUCUCACAUUCUUCGUCAGUGGUUCUCAUAUUUUUAUUAUUUCAUUUCAUUUCUGCAACUAUACUGUUAAUAUAACGAAAAUAAUAAUAUUAUAAAUAAAAUGUAUAUAAACAAUAUAUUUAUAAUUUUGAUAAUCCAGAUUUUAUAACUAUUUUCAUAUAAAAUUGAACGCUAUUAAGGCAGUAUUAUGCGUACAUAUUUAAAAAUUUAAAAAUAUUGGAAAAUAUGGACAUUGAUGUUAACACGUAUUUAUUUCCAUGACUUUUUUUAGUAUUUUUCGAGCAAUGUGAUUAUAAUCGUAUAAACAAUUUUUCCUAAUGUCUUUAUACGAUGAAAAACUAUCUAUAUAACUUCGAAAUUGAUAAUUAUUUAUUUAAGUCAUUGUAGAUCUUUAUAUAAAUAAAUCUUUCUCGUAAAUUGGAUUCCAGUGAUUUGGAGAUUCAUUAAAAAUUGUGAAUACAAAAAUGUCCAGAAAUUGAAUUUUCCUUCCAUUACAUUUCAUAUUUUUUUACAUAUACACUAUCAAAUUUUAUAAAAUUAUCUUCCCUAAAAAAAGGCCACUUUUCCUAAGAUCAUUAAGUUUUUAGUUUGGUCAAAUAUUCAUUAUUACGUAAAUUAAUAAUUGUA
rnacentral:misc_RNA from 1 species